rnacentral:pre_miRNA from 1 species
UCUUAUGGAUGAGAAAAAGAAGUGGUUUUUAAGAUGAAAUCUACUCCUGAUGAAGAUGCUUUGAA